rnacentral:rRNA from 1 species
UACGGAGGAUCCGAGCGUUAUCCGGAUUUAUUGGGUUAAAAGGGUGCGUAGGCGGCCUAUUAAGUCAGGGGUGAAAGACGGUAGCUUAACUAUCGCAGUGCCUUUGAUACUGAUGGGCUUGAAUGUACUUGAGGUAGGCGGAAUGUGACAAGUAGCGGUGAAAUGCAUAGAUAUGUCACAGAACACCAAUUGCGAAGGCAGCUUACUAAAGUAUGAUUGACGCUGAGGCACGAAAGCGUGGGGAUCAAACAGG